GCCGUCUUCUUUGGUCAAAGAGAAGCAGCCACCAAAAGCAGAAGCUCUUCCUUCUCCGUCUCCCUCCUCGUCUCCACCCCCGAGCAUCCCUCGCUCUCGAACUCCUAGCCGCAACUCUUAUCGUUUAACCUUUGCGAAUCCGUCGGUGGAUCUUGCGAUCGCGUCCCCUUCCCCGGUCCGAUACGUCUCCAGUCUCCGUCUCCGCUUGAAUUUCGCAUAAAGGGAGCAGAUGCCAGAGGAGGAUCUGGUGGAGCUGAGAUUUCGGCUCUAUGAUGGAUCCGACAUCGGUCCCAUCUGCUACUCUUCGUCUUCCACGGUUGCUAUGCUCAAAGAGAGGAUAAUAUCUGAAUGGCCAAGAGAUAAGAAGAUUAUCCCAAAAUUGGCUAAUGACGUCAAACUGAUAAGUGCGGGAAAAAUAUUGGAUAACAGCAAAACAAUCUCUCAGUGCAGACCAAGUUUUGGUGAACUCCCUGGAGGGGUUAUCACUAUGCAUGUUGUUGUGCAGCCGUCGUCUGCUAAAUCUAAAACAGAGAAGAACGUCGACGAGUUGCCAAAGAAAGCCUGUUCCUGUUCCAUAUUGUAGAGCAAUUAGCUUCAUCUAUUAGUUAGUCAGCUACAAUAGUAUUAUAUCCACCUGGGAGGAACAGGAAGAUGGCAGAACACUCAUGGCACAAGUUCUUUUCCUGGAUGAAGAUACCGAUGCUUCCCUCAUUCCAUCUCUGCUGUCGCAGGUUGGUGAGAUGGGAAAAGAGAGGUGACCCACAGAUAUAGCAGCUAUAGAUGGAGUGAAGUCCUCGUACCUUAGAAGGUGGAGAUUGCUAGCUAGCUUAUUUGUCAUUGAACAUUGUAGUUGAACAUUCAUCUUAGUUUAAUGGUUGUGAUGAGGCUUAAACAUGCUGAUUUAAAAAUAAAUAUUUUGUGAAUUUAAGUUUCUUUUUGUUAAUGUAUGUGUUGACAGGAGAUUUCUCCUUUAGUCACAAAAACAGGUGUCCUCUGAACUGACCUGAGGUGCCGAAUUAAGAUUUUUGUGUUUUGCGUCUACUUUUUUAAAACAAUUUCAAUGUGAUGGACUAUCCUAUCUAAUGUGUCGCUCCAUUGGGAAGAUACUCCUCUAUGUAUUCAUCAACUGUAACUAAAACUUUGCCAGGAUGAUUUUGAU